AUUGAACGCUGGCGGCAUGCUUUACACAUGCAAGUCGAACGGUAACAGGCCUUCGGGUGCUGACGAGUGGCGAACGGGUGAGUAAUGCAUCGGAACGUACCCAGAGGUGGGGGAUAACGCAGCGAAAGCUGUGCUAAUACCGCAUGUGAUCUGAGGAUGAAAGCGGGGGACCGAGCAGCAAUGUUUGGCCUCGCGCCUUUGGAGCGGCCGAUGUCGGAUUAGCUAGUUGGUGGGGUAAAGGCCUACCAAGGCGACGAUCCGUAGCUGGUCUGAGAGGACGACCAGCCACACUGGGACUGAGACACGGACCAGACUCCUACGGGGGGCAGCAGUGGGGAAUUUUGGACAAUGGGCGCAAGCCUGAUCCAGCAAUGCCGCGUGCGGGAAGAAGGCCUUCGGGUUGUAAACCGCUUUUGGCAGGAACGAAACGGUGUCCGCUAAUACCGGGCGCUAAUGACGGUACCUGCAGAAUAAGCACCGGCUAACUACGUG
rnacentral:rRNA from 1 species